rnacentral:rRNA from 1 species
AUGGCCAAGAACUACGGCGGAGUGUACAACAUCCACGGCUGGGGCGACCCCUACUUCGCCGUCAACACGCACGGCCACCUCUGCGUCCGCCCCCACGGCCGCCAAACCUCACCGGGCCAGGAGAUCGACCUGCUCUCCGUCAUCCACCAAGCCGCAGCGACGACGACCACCGACGAUCACGACGGCAAGGAGAGGAGGCUCCAGUUCCCCAUGAUCCUCCGCUUCCCCGACGUGCUCCGGCACCGGCUCGACUCGCUGCACGCCGCGUUCGCGGCCGCCAUCGAGCACACUGGCUACCGCUCCGUCUACCAGGGCGUGUUCCCGGUCAAGGUGAACCAGAACAAGGCCGUCGUGCAGGACAUGGUCCGCUUCGGCCACGAGUACGGCUACGGGCUCGAGGCCGGGUCCAAGCCGGAGCUGCUCAUCGCCAUGAGCUGCCUCACCAGGGGCAGAGCCAAGCCUGGCGCCUACCUGGUGUGCAACGGAUACAAGGACAAGGACUACGUCGCGCUCGCCCUGGCGGCGCGCGCCAUGGGCCUCAACGUCAUCAUCGUGCUGGAGAUGGAGGAGGAGCUCGACAUCGUCGUCGAGCAGAGCCGCAGGCUCGGCAUCGAGCCGGCCAUUGGUGUUCGUGCCAAGCUGCUAACCAAGUUACCGGGCCAUUUCGGGUCCACGGCCGGCAAGCACGGCAAGUUCGGGCUCCUGGCCGAGAGGAUCUACGAGGUGGCCCGGAAGCUCAGGGGCAUGGGCAAGCUGCAUUGGCUCAAGCUGCUGCACUUCCACGUCGGCUCCAUGAUCCCGUCCACGGACAUCGUCUUCAAGGCGGCCUGCGAGGCCGCCGGGAUCUACUGCGCGCUCGUGAACGAUUGUGGCGCGGAGGCGAUGACCACGCUGGACUGCGGCGGUGGGCUCGGCGUCGACUACGACGGGACACGAUCGGGCAGCUCCGACAUGUCGGUGGCGUAUGGGCUGGAGGAGUACGCGUCCAGCAUCGUGCAGGCGGUGCGGCUCAAGUGUGACGACAACGGCGUUCCCCACCCCGUGCUCUGCACCGAGAGCGGCCGCGCCAUGGCGUCACACCACUCCAUGAUCAUCCUCGAGGCGCUCUCCGCGAUCGCCGAGCCCAAAGACGACGGCGACACCACAGAGCAGCUGCACGCCAAGAUCCAUGAGCUGGCCUCGAAGCAGCAGCCGAGGGCGCUAUUGAAUUUGAAGGGUGACGCGGCGGCGGGCAUGUCCACGUCCCAUGCCUUGGACAUCAAGAAGCACGGCAUCGAGAUGUACAAGCUGGGCAAGAAGCUCGCCAAGAGCGUCAUGGCUGACGCCGCCACCAUCUACAACUACCACAUGAACCUGUCCGUCUUCUCGCUGGUGCCCGACUUCUGGGGCAUCCAGCAGUUGUUCCCGAUGAUGCCGGUGAGCCGGCUCCACGAGAGGCCGACCCGCAUGGCCACACUCGUCGACCUCACCUGCGACAGCGACGGGAAGAUCGAGAAGUUCAUCGGCGGGGCAGAGACGCUGCCGCUGCACCCGCUGGACACCGUGUCUAGCCCUGGCGGCGGCGGAUACUACGUGGCCGUGCUCCUGUCCGGAGCGUACCAGGAGGCCCUGUCCAGCAAGCACAACCUGUUCGGCGGCCCCAGUCUCGUGCGCGUGCUUGGCGGUGACGACGGCGAGUUCAUACUCGACACGGUUGACCUGGGCCCGACCACGGAGGAGCUCAUCGGCACCAUGAGGUACGACAUCAAGAAGGACAUCGGCGGGGUGAUCGAGGAGCGAGCGAGGGAGAAGCAGGUGUGGGAAAUGGUGGGGACGCUCGUGGGGAACGCGCUCAACACCAUGCCGUACCUCGUCGAUUAUCAGCCCCCACCAACCGCCUAG